GACAGAGGGUGCAAACGUUGUUCGGAAUUACUGGCGUAAAGCGAGUGUAGGCGGUUUGGUAAGUCGGAUGUGAAAGCCCCGGGCUCAACCCGGGAAGUGCACUCGAUACUGCCAAGCUAGAGUGUCGGAGAGGUUGGUGGAAUUCUCGGUGUAGAGGUGAAAUUCGUAGAUAUCGAGAGGAACACCGGUGGCGAAGGCGGCCAACUGGACGAACACUGACGCUGAGACUCGAAAGACCGUGGGGAGGCAAACAGG
rnacentral:rRNA from 1 species